rnacentral:rRNA from 1 species
UAUCCUAGGGAGGCAGCAGUGGGGGAUAUUGCACAAUGGGGGGAACCCUGAUGCAGCGACGCCGCGUGGGUGAAGAAGCGCCUCGGCGCGUAAAGCCCUGUCAGCAGGGAAGAAAAUGACGGUACCUGAAGAAGAAGCCCCGGCUAACUACGUGCCAGCAGCCGCGGUAAUACGUAGGGGGCAAGCGUUAUCCGGAUUUACUGGGUGUAAAGGGGGCGCAGACGGCGAUGCAAGCCAGGAGUGAAAGCCCGGGGCCCAACCCCGGGACUGCUCUUGGACCUGCGGUGCUGGCGUGCAGGAGGGGG